AUGCUGUAUGGCUUUUUUUUCUUUGUCCUGACAAUUUGAGUAAAAUAUCAAGCUUGCUCCUAAAAUCCUAACCGUUUUCUUUUCAGAAUUUAAUGGGUCUAUAAAACUAUGUGGUAUUGUGCCAUAUGGUGCUUUCCUAACCUUUUGAGUGAAAUAUCCAGCUUGUUCUUAAUAUCCUAACAGUUUUCUUUUCAGAAUGUAAUGAGUUGCCAGGCAACGUGUGACUCGUUUCCAGGCCACCGCCGGUUCCAGCGUACUAACGUCAUCUGAAGCGACCUCAGUGGACGGACGCCACGCGGGAAGCUGACCGGACCUGGCUUUUUCCAGCGGCGGGGGUUAUUUGUAUUUAGGUCUUGCGGUGUAUCCUUCCCAAGUGGCGUGGAUGUGAAGAGACACAUUUCCCCUGAGGUUCCAUGGGCGACCUACUUGUGAUGUGGACCUGACCCUCCGCCAUGUAGCAGACAACCCCCCUCAGGUCUUGCGGUGUAUCCUUCCCAAGUGGCGUGGAUGUGAAGAGACACACAGUUCCCCUGAUGUUCCAUGGGCGACCUACUUGUGUACAAUUCAACUGCAUAUCAAAUACUUUUAAUA